UCUCUCCCAUGUAAAGGAGAGGUAGGGUGAAUGGUCAAGGAGGACCUCCUAGGCUCUGGCCCACUUUCUGUAACUCUAAGCUUGCUGGAAUAGUAAAUCCCAAAAUAAAGAUUGCCCUGGCCCGACGCUUGACCAAGUUGGCGCCAGACAGGUAGCAAUUCACCUGUGUGCGAAAAGGAUCAGCAAGACACUUGAAGGCAUCUGCUCUGGAACCUUUUAUCCCGGGGACUUGAAGGGUGAAUGAUUACAAGAUUUCCACUGGGCAAUUUCCAGAUGAAGAAAUGGACAUUUCUGAGGGGCUGAGUAAUUUGCCUAAAGUCAUCUGCCAGCCUUUCAGGACCCCUGCAUCAUUUCGGCCAUAAAGGAGCUGAGAGUACCAGACAGAGAUGCAGUCCCAGCCUUGCAGGCGCUGUCGCCUUAUUGGAGGAAGAGUGACAGCAGGAACACGUGGAAGUACGCAAGGUGGGGCUUGGGGAGGUGAUUUGGUCAUGAAGGCAGAGCCCUGAAGGACGGAUUGGUGUCCUUAUAAAAGAGACCCUGGACAGCUCCCUUGCCCCUUCCACCACCUGAGGACACGACUCAAGGAUCCUGGAAGCAGGCUCUCACCAGACACCAAAUCCAUUGGCGCCUUGAUCUUGAACUUCCCAGCUUCCAGAACUGCAUUUAUGAAACUACUAUGGUAUACUGAGUAGCAUGGACUGGGCUCUCUGUGCAUUGCUGUGCCAUAACCCAGGGACAAGCAGUGACAGCUGCCACCUCCUUUCCUGCCCUUCUCCAACUACGGAAUCCAUGGAUAUUAUGAUAGUCUCAGAAGUCUGCUGUAAAUCUGGUUGAACUCUGUGAGCUGGUGAAGGAGGGACUGAGAAGAGCCAGUUGGCUACCUCCCCCACGUGUUGUUUAUGGUGUGUCUCGGGCUGCAGCUCUGAGCCAGUGACUGAACCUGCCCUAGGGGUCUGCACAUGUGACCCCUGCAGAACCUCAGAUAAAUGAUCACCUCUGCUGCUCAGAACUCUCUCUGCCUCUCCUUUAUGUUUGGCUGUGAUGAAUGCUGGGAGUGGCUCACUUAAGUAGGUGACCUGGCUAGACAAACCCACCGAAUUCUUGGGCUGAUGUUACAAUUACCCUCUUGAUAAGAUCCAGAACCCACAAGGCUGCCCCUGGUGGGCUCAGGACGACGCUGGGCAGUGGCCGAAUGCCAGGAGUGGCCCCUGAGUCUGUCCCCAGCAGCUCCGCCUGUUCCCAGCUCUGCACCCUCACAGCCCAUCUGGCUGGCUCGAAGCCACCUGAUACCUCAGGGCAUCCGAAGCACAAUUCCUCAUCUGUUCCUCCGAGCCCAGCGUCCCUCCCUGCCAUGCGCAUUCCUUGUCCUCAACAACCAGGCUCACAGCUCUGAAAUACCCUUAAAUCCUUCUGGUCCUUCUCCCUCUCUCCCCCUAACCUCUACGGGCUUCUUGAUUGUAUGGAGUUCCUCCUGCUUCAUUUCCUGCAGCCAAAUUUAGGGCCUCCUCCUUGAAUGCUGAUGGGGCUGGAGGACAACCAUCCUGGCCCGCCUGGGACUGAGGAAUGUAGGAUUUCCCAUGCGGCCACCAAGAAGGCCCUGGGAAAGUCGGGGCACGCUGGUCACCCUAUGCCUGGAUUGCGGCCGCAUGCAGUCACCAGCCCGGCCUCUGAGACCACCAUCUCUCCGGCGCCAUCUCCAGCUCAGUUUCCCCAGGAGUGAUUGUUCCUGACCCCUCAAAUCUUCAACCUUCGAGGACUGAGUUUGCUUUCUAAUGAGUUUAAUUUCUGUGGCAUUGAGGCCCCCAGCAAUCUGGCCCUACCUGCCUGGCUGCUGUUGUCUUCCCUUCGCCCCACACAUAGCCUUUAUUCAGCUGUGUCGCCGCUUCCCACGGGACUGUCUCACUCUGGCCUUUGUCUAUGUUGCUUUCUGGCUGCCACCUCUGUCUUGGCCCAUUCUUAGCCUUUUGAACUCUUAGCCAUCAGCUAAGUCUCAGCUCACAUACCACCACCUCUGAGAUGUCACAGGUCUGGUCACCCACCAGAGCAAUGUCCACCCUCCCCACUCUUAUUGUGACUCCCUAAGAGCAUCCUGUCACAUUUGUCACACACCGCAUUGAUGUAAACCUAUGUGUUACCUAUUUGUCCCCCUUCUUGACACUAAAUCCCUCAAAGACAGAGAUCUUACCCAUUUUUUAGAUUCUUCGAAGCUCAUCAAAUUGUGUGCAUGGUAGGUGAUUAGAAAGCAUACAUUCAGGUUGAAGGAACAAAGAGGUUUUAGUAGACUGAGAAUGUCUGCCUGUGAAGGAGGAUGGCACCAGGGCCACACAUUACUGUGGGGAUGGCCCUGAGCCAGGAACACAUGUCCAAGUCACUGUGACUUACAACAUGCACACGUGCCACUUAUGAUUCCCUGAAAUAAGGAAUGAUAGUUGCAAACAUCGAUUGUGCACAUAUUCUGUUCCAGGUACUACGUCUGCCAGGCACAGCAAUCCCACAGGACAGUCCAGGUGGGCCUGGAAGGCGCACUGACUGGAUUUGGAACCCAGCUGCACCACUUACGAGCUGGUGUCUUUGGGCAAGCUGCUUAACUUGUGUACCUCAGUUUCUCAAUUUGCAAAAUGAGGGUAAAAAUAGUAGCUACUUCAAUGGGGUAUUGCAAGGAAUAUUAUACUUCAUUGAAUCCAAGAUGUCAUCCAUUGUGAGGUACACUGUAACCCUGUAUCACUAUAGAAAAAUCUCUCUCAAUUAAACUCUGUAUACCAUAAA